GGCCGCUUUAACUAUUGGAGCGACGGCCGCCUCAGCUAUGAGAAGGGUUCUACUAUUGAGAAGGCGAUCAGCUUUGAGGAAACGGCGGCUUUAUAGAGGAGGCGUGACGGCUUUAAUAUUGGAGGAGGUGGCAACAAUUUUAAAUGUGGCCGUUGAAAAACUGUGAUGUGUUAAUAUAAAAGGUCGUUUCCCGCCAACUGAUAGAUGACGAUAAAAGCAACGUGCGUGUGAAUUUACAGGCAAAUCUGACAUGUUCCGAAGAAGAACUUAUAUGUUAUAAGUUAUGGCUGAAACAAAAGAUACGGAACAUCUGAUACGCCUCAAAGGAAAAAAUUAUAUUGAUCAAAUAUAACUGUGACGUUGUCAACAAAAGGAUCUACCCACCAGGAUUCUCUAGUUUAAGACUCAUACUCACAUUUAACAUAAUUAAAUAAGUAAAAUAACUAAACAUUAGCUUAAAGUAUGCAAAAGAAAUUUGCGAUCGUUAACUUCACAGUCGACUGUUAAGUCAACAGCCGCCUAACAUUUUUACUUCUUAAAGAUUUCUGUUCGCCUGGUACUUGAGACAAUUUUUAGUUCACACCUCAAGCUUCAGUGGGCCCUCAAUUGCCGCCCCAUGCGCGUAUGCAAUGAAAUUUGCAUUUACAAUAUUUUUGUCUGCCUGCUGGACAUUUCUGUUCGCCUGUUAUUUCAGCUGCAAUUUUUGUUCAAAUCUGAACCAGCCAGCGGUGGGACUAACAACCGUUGAUAUUUGAAUUUUGUCUUCCAAAUGGCAGAAAACCAAAAAAAUGCAUUUAUUUUCUUAUAUAAUUCAUUUUUAUCAUAUAAAACUUACAUAAUUGUUGUUUCUAUCAUGUACUUUAUUAAUUAUCUUUCAAA